ensembl:snRNA U6 U6 spliceosomal RNA
AUGCUCGCUUCAGCAGCACAGAUACUAAAAUUGGAAUGAUACAGAGAGGAUUAGCAUGGUCCCUGCACAAGGAUGACAUGCAGAUUCAUGAAGCAUUCCAUAUUUAA